rnacentral:rRNA from 1 species
UGGGGAAUUUUGGACAAUGGGCGAAAGCCUGAUCCAGCAAUGCCGCGUGUGUGAAGAAGGCCUUCGGGUUGUAAAGCACUUUUGUCCGGAAAGAAAUGGCUCUGGUUAAUACCUGGGGUCGAUGACGGUACCGGAAGAAUAAGGACCGGCUAACUACGUGCCAGCAGCCGCGGUAAUACGUAGGGUCCAAGCGUUAAUCGGAAUUACUGGGCGUAAAGCGUGCGCAGGCGGUUGUGCAAGACCGAUUUGAAAUCCCCGAGCUUAACUUGGGAAUUGAAUUGGUGACUGCACGGCUAGAGUGUGUCAGAGGGGGGUAGAAUUCCACGUGUAGCAGUGAAAUGCGUAGAGAUGUGGAGGAAUACCGAUGGCGAAGGCAGCCCCCUGGGAUAACACUGACGCUAAUGCACGAAAGCGUGGGGAGCAAACAGG